UAGGGAAUCUUCCACAAUGGACGAAAGUCUGAUGGAGCAACGCCGCGUGAGUGAUGAAGGUUUUCGGAUCGUAAAACUCUGUUGUAAGGGAAGAACAAGUGCGUUAGGUAAUGAACGCACCUUGACGGUACCUUAUUAGAAAGCCACGGCUAACUACGUGCCAGCAGCCGCGGUAAUACGUAGGUGGCAAGCGUUGUCCGGAUUUAUUGGGCGUAAAGCGCGCGCAGGUGGUUUCUUAAGUCUGAUGUGAAAGCCCACGGCUCAACCGUGGAGGGUCAUUGGAAACUGGGAGACUUGAGUGCAGAAGAGGAUAGUGGAAUUCCAAGUGUAGCGGUGAAAUGCGUAGAGAUUUGGAGGAACACCAGUGGCGAAGGCGACUGUCUGGUCUGUAACUGACACUGAGGCGCGAAAGCGUGGGGAGCAAACAGG
rnacentral:rRNA from 2 species